rnacentral:rRNA from 1 species
CCUACGGGAGGCUGCAGUGGGGAAUAUUGGACAAUGGGGGGAACCCUGAUCCAGCGACGCCGCGUGAGUGAAGAAGUAUUUCGGUAUGUAAAGCUCUAUCAGCAGGGAAGAAAGAAAUGACGGUACCUGACUAAGAAGCCCCGGCUAACUACGUGCCAGCAGCCGCGGUAAUACGUAGGGGGCAAGCGUUAUCCGGAUUUACUGGGUGUAAAGGGAGCGUAGACGGCGAUGCAAGUCUGAAGUGAAAGGCGGGGGCCCAACCUCCGGACUGCUUUGGAAACUGUAUGGCUGGAGUGCAGGGGGGGUAAGUGGAAUUCCUAGUGUAGCGGUGAAAUGCGUAGAUAUUAGGAGGAACACCAGUGGCGAAGGCGGCUUACUGGACUGUAACUGACGUUGAGGCUCGAAAGCGUGGGGAGCAAACAGGAUUAGAUACCCUUGUAGUC